rnacentral:tRNA from 1 species
UCUCUGGCAGUCCAGUGGUUAAGACACUGUGCCUCCACUGCAGGGACACAGGUUCGAUCCCUGGUCAGAGAA